AGCUCCAAUAGCGUAUAUUAAAGCUGUUGCGGUUAAAAAGCUCGUAGUUGGAUUUCUGUCAAGGACAACUGGUCCGCCCUGUGGGUGAGCACAUAGUUUGGUCUUGGCAUCUUGCUGGAAGCUGUUGCCGCACUUGGCUGUGUGGCGCAGUGUCCAGCACUUUCACUUUGAGGAAAUUGGAGUGUUUCAAGCAGGCUCGUGCCUUUGGACACAGUAGCAUGGAAUAAGUAGAUUGGGCUUUUGCUCCAAUUUGUCGGUUUCUGGAGCUGAGGUGAGAAUUAAUGGGGAUUGUUGGGGGCAUCCGAAUUUAGCCGUCAGAGGUGAAAUUCUUGGAUCUGCUAAAGACGGACGACUGCGAAAGCGUUUGCCCAGGAUGUUUUCAUUGAUCAAGAACGAAAGU
rnacentral:rRNA from 1 species